rnacentral:rRNA from 1 species
AUUGAACGCUGGCGGCAUGCCUUACACAUGCAAGUCGAACGGUAACAGGUCUUCGGUUGCUGACGAGUGGCGUACGGGUGGGUAAUACAUCGGAACGUGCCCGAUCGUGGGGGAUAACGGAGCGAAAGCUUUGCUAAUACCGCAUACGACCUACGGAUGAAAGCAGGGGACCGCAAGGCCUUGCGCGGACGGGGCGGCCGCUGGCAGAUUAGGUAGUUGGUGGGGUAAAAGCUUACCAAGCCGACGAUCUGUAGCUGGUCUGAGAGGACGACCAGCCACACUGGGACUGAGACACGGCCCAGACUCCUACGGGAGGCAGCAGUGGGGAAUUUUGGACAAUGGGCGAAAGCCUGAUCCAGCCAUGCCGCGUGCAGGAUGAAGGCCUUCGGGUUGUAAACUGCUUUUGUACGGAGCGAAAAGACUCUUUCUAAUAAAGAGGGUCCAUGACGGUACCGUAAGAAUAAGCACCGGCUAACUACGUG